rfam:Habropoda laboriosa contig20138, whole genome shotgun sequence.
CAAUCGGCCCCUUUAGGGGCCACCAAUUUUUUAACGUAAGAACAA